UCUUAGGCGUACUCUUAGAAAUUUAAUAAUUUAAGAACCAGAUACGAUUAAAUAUCAGAUAAAAAAUACAUUGUAUGCAUAUAGAAGAGAUAUAUACCUGGAAAAAACUAUAAUAAUUUUAACAAGUUUGCCGUAGUUAGUUGAGAGAAAUGAGAGAAAAAAGAAGAAAUAAGAAAAGAAAGAAAAAUUUUAAUAUUUUUUGUUGUGUCCCCAUAAAAAAUGAUUCAAAGAGUAAAAAAUAUGCCCAAAUUUAGAUAUUUUUUGUCUGUUAGAUAAAGAACCUAUAUGAGUCCACACAUUUGAGAAUAAUGAAAUGAAAUGAUAGUUUUGGAAGAAAAAAAUAAUUUCAGAUGAAAUUUCAACCGUUAUAUUAAGUUAAAUAGAUUUCAAUCGUAAAUAGUAAAAAAUAAAUUUAAUUCAAAAUAUAAUAUAAAUUUAUAUUAUUAAAAUAAGUCCCAAAAUACUUAGAUUCAUACACUUCAAAUAUUUUGGACUGCCGCGAAGUUUCGUCCUUUAUAAGCCUUAUAACCACAUCCACACAUCUUGCCUGCCCACUUGGUGAUGGUGUUCUGACUUAUGUCGGCACGACUUUGGACUGCCGCGAAGUUUCGUCCUUUAUAAGCCUUAUAACCACAUCCACACAUCUUGCCUGCCCACUUGGUGAUGGUGUUCUGACUUAUGUCGGCACGACUCAUCCCAUAUUAUUUCACAUUUUUGUAAAGUAAUAUCAGAUCAACAGUGUACGUAAAAAAGUUAUAUUUGUUGGAAAAAUUAUAGUUUUGAGUCACUUUAGAUUAUAUUUAAGUGGUCUAUAAUAUUUUUUGUGGAUUAAUUAUUGAAACCUUAAUUUUUGAAACCUUAGGGGCGGUUGGCUGGGGGCGGAUAUGGGGAGGGGGAUAAGUUUUAAGGGGGGAUAGGGAUAAAUUUAGAGAUGGAAACUUUUGGAGGGGGGAAAUUUUAAUUUUGUUUGGAUUACUUUUUAGAAUGGGUGGGAUAAGGGUGAGGAUAAGGAAGAAAUAUAUAGAGAGAAACAAAAUAUAAAAUAUUUAGAUAUUUAAAAAAAUAUAUUUUGUUUCGAUAUAUAUAUAUAUAAAUAAACAUAUACUUAUGUUUCUCUUAUAUAUUUUUUUUCUUAUCCCGACACACUUAUCCCCCGAUAACUUUUAGUUAGGGUUAGGCUCACCCAAAAAAUUAUCCGCCUUUAUCCACAUGCUGGGGGACAAUUAUCCGGGGCCCAUAUAAAUUAAAAAUUAUCCGCCUCCUUAUCGCCAGCCAAACGACAUGGGGGAAAAAAAAAUUAUCCGGGGGGAAAGUUAUCCCCCCAUCUUAUCCCACAGCCAACGGGCUGUUAGUGAAGAGAUUUAUGAAAAAAAUCAAGCCAAAAACAUUACAAGAAGUGAAUUAAAUUUAGCUCAAAAAUAAUUAGUUGAAGUUGUUGAAAGAAGGAAUUGAGAACAUAGGUCCCCAAAUGGUUGGGAAGGAGAAAGUUAAGUGGUUAGAAGCAUUGAGUUUGAAAAACCUAAGAUGUGCCCUUAGGUUACUGCCAUUUUUUGUUGUAUAUUUUAUCUAUCUUAAUUUAGUUUCAAUUAUAGGAACUAGCUAAUAACUCGGCAGUCAAGAUGAUCCACAUAGAGCUGAUUGCCAAGAUUGAGUAUAUAAGUAAAGAAAGUGUAAAAGAUUAUUUUGUGUUGUUUUCGUAAAUGGUGUGAAUGAAAAUAUAAAAUAAAAAUAUAAAAUGGCAAGGUUUAAGCACUUAGUCAUCUCUUAAAUCUUAAUUUAAAUGUUUCAAUUUCUUUUAUAAACUCAACCAAUCUCAAAGGUAAUAUGUGAUAUUGGUGAAAGAUUUUUUAGUGAAAAUAUUAUUUUAGUAUAUAAAGAGGUGUUUAUGAAAUCAAUACUGAUUUCUUUUGAUAUGGUUUUAAACACUUGGAAUGCAAUUGAUCUAGUAUUGCUUUGUAUCAAGUAAAUUAAACAAUUAAUCAAAGACGUGUACAAUUCUAAGUUUCGAUCUUUAAAACUACCAUUAUGGUUUUUUGAUAUGAUUUCAAACACUUGAAAUGCAAUUGAUCUAAGUAUUAAUUGUACCAAAUAAAAUUGAUAACAAUUAAUUAAAAAUGUGUACAAUUUUAAAUUUUGAUAUUUACAAAACAAUCUAUAAUAUAAACGACUAGUAAUUUCCAGUGCCUACAGGCACAACGUAAAAAUAAAAAAAUAAUAAAAAAUCAUCUCUUAGGCGUACUCGUUAGAAUUUAAUAAUUUAAGAACCAGAUAAGAUAUAAAUAUCAGAUAAAAGAUACAUUGUAUGCAUAUAUGAAGAGAUAUAUUACUUAGAAACUAUAAUAAUUUUAAAAAGUUUUGCUAGUUUGAGAGAAAUGAGAGAAAAAAAAAAAAUAUUUUAAUAUUUUUUGUGUGGCCCCAUUAAAAAAUGAUUCAAAGAGUAAAAAAUAUGCCCAAAUUUAGAGAUUUUUUGUCUUUUAGAUAAGAACCUAUAUGAGUCUCACACAUUUGAGAAUAAUGAAAUGAUAAUUUUGGGAGAAAAAAAUAAUUUCAGAUAAAUUCAACCGUUAUAUUAAGUUAAAUAGAUUUCAAUCGUAAAUAGUAAAAAAUAAAUUUAAUUCAAAAUAUAAUAUAAAUUUAUAUUAUUAAAAUAAGUACCAAAAUACAUAGAUUCAUACACUUCAAAUAUUUUGGACUGCCGCGAAGUUUCGUCCUUUAUAAGCCUUAUAACCACAUCCACACAUCUUGCCUGCCCACUUGGUGAUGGUGUUCUGACUUAUGUCGGCACGACUCAUCCCAUAUUAUUUCACAUUUUUGUAAAGUAAUAUCAGAUCAAACAGUGUACGUAAAAAAGUUAUAUUUGUUGGAAAAAUUAUAGUUUUUGAGUCACUUUAGAUUUAUAUUUAAAGUGGAUCUCAUAAUUAUUUUUUGUGGGUUAAUUAUUGAACAUAAUUUUUGAACCUUAGUGAAGAGAUUUAUGAAAAAAAUCAAGCCAAAAACAUUACAAGAAGUGAAUUAAAAUUAGCUUCAAAAAUAAUUAGCUGAAGUUGUUGAAAGAAGGAAUUGGAACAUAGUCCCACAUUGGUUGGGAAGGAGAAAGUUAAGUGGUUUAGAAGCCUUGAGUUUGAAAACCUAAGAUGUGCCCUUGGUACUUGCCAUUUUUUGGUGUAUAUUUUAUCUAUCUUAAUUUAGUUCCCAAUUAUAGGAACUAGCAUAAUACUCGGCAGUCCAAGAUUGUAUCCACAUAGAGCUGAUUUGCAAGAUUGAGUUAUUAUAAGUAAAGAAAGUGUAAAAGAUUAUUUUGUGUUGUUUUCGUAAAUGGUGUGAAUGAAAAUAUAAAAUAAAAAUAUAAAAUGGCAAGGUUUAAGCACUUAGUCAUCUCUUAAAUCUUAAUUUAAAUGUUUCAAUUUCUUUUUCUUUUAUAAACUCAACCAAUCCUCAAGGUAAAUAUGAUAUUGGUUGAAAGAUUUUUCAGUGAAAAUAUUAUUUUAUAUCUAAAGAUGUGUUUAUGAAAUCAAUACUGAUUUUCUUUUGAUAUGGUUUUAAACACUUGGAAUGCAAUUGAUCUAAGUAUUGAUUGUAUCAAGUGAAAUUUAUAACAAUUAAUCAAAGACGUGUACAAUUCUAAGUUUCGAUCUUUAAAACUACCAUUAUAGUUUUUUGAUAUGAUUUCAAACACUUGAAAUGCAAUUGAUCUAAGUAUUAAUUGUACCAAAUAAAAUUGAUAACAAUUAAUUAAAAAUGUGUACAAUUUUAAAUUUUGAUCUUUAAAACAACUAUUAUGGUUUCAUAAAUAAAUAUAUAAAUUUUUUUUGAAAGAGAGACGAAAUUAGUUCAUCAAAGUGUCGAAAGAAAACGUCAUUCUUGAACCGAGCCAAAAGAUUUAGCCUUCCAUAGGUAUGAAAGACUUAAUCUUUAGUGCAAAUUAAGCAAAUAAAUAUAAAAGAACUUCACAUGAAAUUAAAGAAAAACUGAAAAGGAAAUAGCAUUAAUAGAAACAGAAAGGCUACCCUUACCGAAUGGUUUACCAAAUAGUUUACCGCAGCUGUCAAAACGACAUGUUUUGGUAGCUAAAAACAAAAAUCAAAAUAAAAUUGAAAUCAUUUCACCAGCUUACCAGCAAAUUGUCACCGUCUCUCUUCUCUCCCCUCUCUCCUCUCCCCCUCCGCACUCUUCUCUCUCUCCUUCUAUACUUCCUCUGCUUCCCUGCCGCUCCUCGCCCUCCCGUCGUAGUGGUUUGUCCUCGAAAUCUGUUGUUGAUUCGCGUGUCUUUAGCCUCCAUCUUUGCAUUUUGAUGGUCAUUCCUCGGUCUAGGUUUCCUGACUUUUGUUUCCUUGCAGGCAAAGAUUCGUAAUUUUGGUUUCGCAGUUCGAUUUUUACAGUUGUUUUAUUUUUAAGUGCUGAUGGUGUGAAUUGUCUGAUUUUGCGUUGGUUUUUUGUUUUGCGAGUUGAUUGGUGUAUCAUGAAAUUGAUCUGUGUUUAAAGUUUUUUUUUGAUUGGGUUCUGGAAAAUUGGGGGUUUGUUGAAGUGCAGACAAUAUGGUGUUUUCUGUGAAAAUCGGUUCUGGGGCAUUUAUGUUAAAUUCAGUUAAUCGGUUUGUAAGUUUUUGCUGAAUUUUUGGAAUGCAUGUCAAUUGUUUUUGUGGUUCAUGAGAACUUUGUGUUUAAUCUGGGUUGCUUUAAUUUUUCGGUUAGUUUCGCUCUAAAUGGAGCAACAAUCACCCUUCUCUCUUUUGCGUUAGCUGUGCAGUGUGUUUCUGGUGAUGGUUGUGUGUAAAGCGUCUCUCUCUGUGCGUAUGGCGGUGGUUGGUUCGGGGAGCGGUGGUGCCGGAAUCUGAAGAGAGCGGUGAAAAUUGGGAUAAAUCUGAAAUUGAUUCAAAUUUUAAUUUUAUUUUUUUUAUUUUUUUGGCUGUCAAAACGGCGUCGUUUUGACAGUUGCGGUAAACUUUUUGGUAAGUUAUUCGGUAAGCGUAGCCUUUCUGUAAUAGAAAUUACAGGACACAUAAUUUAAGCAAGAAAAUUGACCAUUAAGACGGUUAAUGUAAACGAUAACCCAGCCAUGUAGGCAGACAAUUGAGAUUUUAAGUAUUUAAAUUAACGAAAUUAUAUUGAAUUGACAAAAGUAAAGUACAAGUGUUUGAAAAAGUAAACUAUUCUAAUCUAAUUUAAUCUAAUUUAAUACUAAGAAUGAAAGCUGUAAAACUCAAACUCAAACUCAAAAUUAACUAAGAGCAUAAAACUAAAAAUUAUAACUCACUUAAAACUCAAAACUUAGAACGCUCAGCACCUCCUCUAAAACUAAAAUUUGAAA
rnacentral:lncRNA from 1 species